GUGAGCCGUAUGUAAAGAGAUUUACUGGUACGGUUCUAACGGGAAAAUUAUAAAACUGAGCUUUAACAUAAUUUUAUCCAAC
rnacentral:ncRNA from 1 species